AUACUCUAUUAGGGACUGGUCAUAAUUUAUUAGGGGGGGGGGAGGUGUAAUUCAAAAUUUUAAGGAAUGAUAUUUUGUGACCCUGCUUUGCCAUAACCCGGAAAAAUAAUGCCCCCCCCCUCUCUCUCUUACUCCUGUCAGUAAAAAUGUAACUACCUACUACUAAACUCUGCAUUCAAUAAAUUUUCUAAUUGCACUUUAAAUUUUCUAAUUUUCUAGUUGCACUUUAAAUCAAAUACUAAAAUUUAUAAACCAAGACAUAGUCAUACAAUUUUUUUCAAUGCAACUCAAACAAAAUGUGAGAAGGCAUGUAUAAAACAAUAAAUUCAACUAAAACAGCA